rnacentral:rRNA from 1 species
GGGGACGUAACAAAGCGACCCAGGAAUACUUGGGCGUGCCUCCACCCACGCCGGCGUCGGCGGGCGUAUUUCGCCUCACAGUAGGUCGCCGCGACCCGUUGCUUUUGGGGACGUCGAAGGCCCGGACGGAUUGGUACCCUACCGGCUGGGGAUGCGGCUUCGGCUUCUCCUCUUGUCCGGUGGGCGAAACCGCCGGUGUCCUGGCUGCCCUGCGACGGUCGUAGAGACGAGCCCUCCCCCAUUCGUGGGGGGCGGCUCUCGCGGCGUGCAAAAGGUCGGUGAUCCACCCGACCCGUCUUGAAACACGGACCAAGGAGUCUAACAUGUGUGCGAGUCAGUGGGCGCACUAAACCCAGAGGCGUAAUGAAAGUGACACGGGUUCGGCUGUCGCCUCGUGUGGCAGCCGGACUCAGGGCCGAUCCCUCACCGGUUGCCCUCGCCUCUCUCCCGCGUCUCGGUAAGCCGGGUGAGCUAUUUUCCCCGGCCAAUGCUGCGGGGCUCGGGGGGGAGGCGGGGUUGCGAUGGUGUCCGUAAAAAAGAGCCUGCUGUUGCAGGGGGGCGCAGGCCCGGGACUUGCCAGGACGCCGCGAGACUGUCACUUUGCUGUGAGGCUCUAGGGCCGAUCAGCGGGUCAUGCGUGCAGUCGGCAAGUACCAUGAGCAGACAUGUUGGGACCCGAAAGAUGGUGAACUAUGCCUGGCCAGGAUGAAGCCAGAGGAAACUCUGGUGGAGGUCCGUAGCGAUUCUGACGUGCAAAUCGAUCGUCGGAGCUGGGUAUAGGGGCGA